CGUUAUCAUAGGUUACGCGCGUCUCCAGAGGCACUUUGGAAUCUCGGCACGAAAUCGUCUGAUGAAAAUCUCAGGUGCCCCACGCACAACGUUUUGAACGUGUCACGGAGGAUCAAGGCAAAAAACGAGAGCAAAAAAGGUAAGUCGAGGUUCAGAUAUAAAAAAUAGCAAGCUUAAUGAAUCGAUUGUGCAGCUGUCCGACUGCGCUUACUCUGAUAUAACCACGAUUAGCAACACAAUAGUAUUGAUAAUCUAACUUCUGAAUUACCAGGUGCACGCUGAAGGCGGAAAUGAAGCAUGAUCUGGCUUGUAUCUGGUGCAUGAAGAAAUGGCUGACACGUUAGUUGCAGUCUACCUCCACCAAUAGACAUCUUGACACCACUUUUAAAUCUGCCCUCAAAGUUACAACCUGCGCUUUCAGGGUGGAAAACAAAGGUCGCCAUCCAGAUUAGCUGCUAUCUCCCAGUUCAAGCACUUUUGCUGUCUGGACACUGGUUCCUGUGGACGGGGUGUUACAAGCUUCACUGUCUGAUAUAGAAGUGAUGAGCAUCCAUAAGGACACAUG